GUGGAGAUCAGUUGUGUAGCAGAUAUCAAUGGGUGUCUUCCUGUUCAAUUCUUUCACUGUCUACCUAGAGGUAGCUUCAGAUCCCACUGGUUAAAUGAUUACCCCUCCCACACUUGAGAUGCCAGUUGCAAGCCCCAGUUUCAUUUACUUCUGCUUCUGACCAGUUGGCAACAAAUCAGGAUUCCUACAACCUUCUUGGGUUCAAUUAAUUUGGUUGUAUAGCACAAAAAAACUCAGGGAAAUAUUUACUUAUGUUUAUUGAUUUAUUAUGAGGGAUAUUACAAAGGACACAGCUAAAGAAAUGCAUGGAGUUAUGGAGGAAGGGGCUGUGGAGCUUCCAUGAACUCUCCAGAUGUGCUGCUGUUCAGAAACUUGCAUGUGUUUGGCUAUCCAGGGACUCUCUGAACUCUGUCCUGGGUUUUCAUUGCAGAGACAUCAUUGCGUAGUUGUGAUUUAAGCGUGGACAACCAUUUUGAAAUGUGAUAGGACAAAGGAGAUGUGAUCUAAUAUUAAUAGAGUGGGGAAACCCAACAAGGCUUUGCUGUUUAGGUUCUUCUUGACCUUUGUGCAGCAUUCCUUCCUCCCAGGUAGGGGCAGGAUUCCCUCUAAAAUAGGGGUCUUACUAUCUACUAUUAGAUAAGAUAGGUCAGAGAAUUUCUUUAUGGCCAGUUCCAAGACAGGAAGAAUUAGAGUUAAGUUUCUAUGACCCACCUUAGGAAAGAGGAAUACUAGCUUCUAUGGUAUGCCUUGGGGAGGGAAACAUGAGCUAGGAACCAUAGAUGAAAACCAAAUAUAUAUAUAUAUAACAUAAUGUCGAUAAUUUCAAAAUCUAUUAUCCUAAUCUAUCUAUUAUCCUAAUAACACCUCUAUACUUUUAACUUGAAUAAUCAAUGUAUGGACUAUUCUGUAAUACAAAUUUGAAUCCUAGAACAUCUUUCUGCAGUUAUAUCUACCUCAUUUGUUUAAUCAAUGUGUACCUAGAGAAUACAUGAGAUUUUAAAUAUUAUCCUAGGAUUAACCUAAUUAGAAAUGUUUUGUGGAAAAGCCAUGAGGAAUAUUUCUAUUGCAAACAGAAGCUAUUGUAUUUUAAAAGUAUUUACAGCACAGUAGUGGUAUUUGCUGCAUUUGUCAGAUGUGAUAACCUCUAUUAGACUCCAGAAUUUUUAUAAUACUUUCAUGAAGCCAAUCAGUGAUUAAAUAUUGAUGAAUCUUUUUUUCUUUUAUGAAAGUGUUUUCAAAUACUGAGAAGCAUGUUCUGCUGUUUCAUGAUUAUGUCAUGUGCUGGAUGGUGUGGUUCAGAAAAAUAUAUAUAUUUUCAAAGUAAAAGCAAAAUACAAUCACUGAGCAAUUCUCUUGAGGAUCAGAAGGUCCUCAAGAACUUCUAGAGAGUUGAUGGGGAUUUGUAUGCUAACAGAAGAAUGAACAAACUGUCCUAGUUAGUUCCAUACACCACGAUCUUGUAGGUAGAGUCCUGUCUCGGAUUCUUCUGUGGGCUUUCCUCCAGACCUUAUGACACUUCGUUUCAUAACUUUUUUCCCCCACACUUCAUUUUGUGCUUGAGUCUCAUUUUCACUGCCCUUUUAAUUUGUGAGCCUGGUUGCCAUCUUCACUUUUUAACAGUAGAUCUUUACUGAGACCUAUUAAUGAGCCCUUAGCAAAAACAGAUUCCUCUUUUCUGUUAGGGAAUGGAGAUCUAAGAUUUCAGAUACUCUCAUCCAAGUAUAUAAAAGUUUGGGUGCUCUGAAAGUAAACUUUACAUAGACAAUUCAGAACAAGGCUUGUUUAAACAGAGACUAGAAAGAUGAGAAAAAAAAUCACCAUAUUAGAGUGUGAGAUGCGGGAAGGGAUUUGUCUAGUAGUCUGAUAAAGAGUAUAUUUGUAGAAAGCAACUGGCCCAUAUAGUAUUUAUAAAAUGAUGACAACACAGCACUGGCAAGUGGUAGUCCCUUGUAGAUAUUAACUGAAUUUUUUAAUGUUUAUUUUAUUAUGAUAGGGACAUUGAACAUAAGAUCAACACUUUUUCUAAAUUCUUAAGAGUACAGUACACUAGUGUUGUCCACAGGUACAAUGUUGUACAGUAGAUCUCUAGAGUUUAUUCAUCUUGUUUGAAAUGUUAUGCCUGUUGAUAAGUAGAUCUUCAUUUCCUCUUCCUCUCAACCCAUAGUGACCACCAUUCUUUUUUAAUUCUAUGAAUUUGACUAUUUUUAAUACCUCAUUUAAGUAGAAUCAUGUGGUAUCUUUCUGUAGCUGACAUUUCAUUUUAUUCCAUGUCCUCAAGGUUCAUCCAUAUUGUCACAUAUUGUGGAAUUUCCUUCUUGUUAAAGGCUGAAUAGUG
rnacentral:lncRNA from 1 species